AGAAAUGACUGCUAAUACCGCAUAAGCACACGGGAGCGCAUGCUUCCGGGUGAAAAGCUCCGGCGGUAUGAGAUGGAUCCGCGUCUGAUUAGCUGGUUGGCGGGGUAACGGCCCACCAAGGCGACGAUCAGUAGCCGACCUGAGAGGGUGGCCGGCCACAUUGGGACUGAGACACGGCCCAAACUCCUACGGGAGGCAGCAGUGGGGAAUAUUGCACAAUGGGGGAAACCCUGAUGCAGCAACGCCGCGUGGGUGAAGAAGUAUUUCGGUAUGUAAAGCCCUAUCAGCAGGGAAGAGAAUGACGGUACCUGACUAAGAAGCCCCGGCUAACUACGUGCCAGCAGCCGCGGUAAUACGUAGGGGGCAAGCGUUAUCCGGAUUUACUGGGUGUAAAGGGAGCGUAGACGGUUGUGCAAGUCUGAAGUGAAAGCCCGCGGCUCAACUGCGGAACGGCUUUGGAAACUGUGUAACUGGAGUGCUGGAGAGGUAAGCGGAAUUCCUGGUGUAGCGGUGAAAUGCGUAGAGAUCAGGAGGAACACCGGCGGCGAAGGCGGCUUACUGGACAGUAACUGACGUUGAGGCUCGAAAGCGUGGGGAGCAAACAGGAUUAGAUACCCUGGUAGUCCACGCCGUAAACGAUGAUUACUAGGUGU
rnacentral:rRNA from 1 species